rnacentral:lncRNA from 1 species
CUCUGUUCCAUGCAGUUGCCAGCAAUUAUUUCAAUGAUUUCACUCAAGUUCAUCUCUGACAAUAAGGGAGGCUUAACUAAAUAAAUGCGAAACACUGGGGUUGUGUUUCUGUACAAGCCUCCUGAGAACACAGGAAGACUCGAAGCAGAUCUAAGAGUUUUGCAAGCCUUCACCUCUGGAACUGCAUUGCCUAAAAGGGUGAACAUUCCUUCAAAUAUGUUCAGUAUGCUUGUGCCUGAGCUUCUCUCCCUUCCACUCACCUGCCAAAAUGAUGAAGUUCAUAUUGACUGACUUUUUAUAGACCUUUUUGAACUGGGACAAGAGUAAUUGGAAUCAUCCCAUGGGUCACUCUCUCGGUCACACAAUGACUCAUCUGCUGAGCUGGUAACAGAACUGUCUCUGUUGGAUCUGUAUUGCUUUCCCUGUGUUUCUGGCACCAGGCUCACUGCUAGCUCAGUAUGAGCUGCAGACUUAACAUCACCAUCUGCUGCCACUCAAGUGGUACAACUCUUUCCCAGCAUUCCUGAUGUUUUAUGUGCCAAAAACCAGACUUUAGAAUUUGUCAAGUGCUUUGAAGUUGGAAAGCGCUAAACUGCAUCAAUUUUAUGUCCAGUCUGCCUCACCACUUGCACAACCUGAGUGGAUUUUGGAGAUCUCUGAACCUGAUUCUAUAGCAACUUAAGAAAAUAAAAGAAAAAUCAGAACACA